GCACUGCUGAUGAAACCCAAAUAGGUCGAAACAGUUGUCUAGUGC
rfam:Echinostoma caproni strain Egypt genome assembly, scaffold: ECPE_scaffold0000467